GGAUCCAAGAAAGAAGUUGCAUUUCCUAAAUGUUUAUAAACCUUUAUUUAUAAAUUAUAACUUAGUUUCUCUCCCUCUCUGCCCUUAGUUCUCCUUUUAAAGGUAGGAGCAGGCUCCUUGUGUUCUUUUAGGGAAGAUUUAGCACUUCUUAGAUUGCUUGUCUCUGGAGCUACUACCGGGUCACACUGCUCCUUCACCUGUCUGCAAAACUGGCACCAGGAAGUUACCUGAGCCAGGUGUGUUCAGUCAGACCUGUCUCCUUCCAGGGCACUGCAUCCUUGAGGGGCAUAGAAUAAGGCUCACCCUUGGUUCACUUUGUUCUAGAUCCAGACUUCCCCGGCCUUAUCCCACCAUCAGCUGCACCAAAAGCCCCACUCCUGAGGUGGCUUUUAUGAGAUAAAGGUAAAGGACAGAAGAGAGAGAAGGUAGACAAUAACCUCUGUCUGACUUGCCUCUUGUAUUUGCCCAUGAAUAAGCAACAAACUCAUCUUUGCAGACAUAAAAGUUAAUAUUAACUCAUGUAAUGGCUUUCUGACAAUUUUCGGUGUGGAAUUAUUUUUACUUGAAAGAAUUAAAACAACAUAUUUAGAGAUACAUGAUUUAAUCCGGGGUGCAAUGCUUGAAUUGCUGCAGGGAAAAAAAUAACGGUAGCUGUAUCACUUACAUAUUAAAGACUGAAGAAAAUGAUUAGGGAGGUGUAUAUGCCUUCAACAAGCAUUCCCACGGGCCAGUCAUUGACAGCUUUAUCAUGCUUACAGCUCAGUCUCUGGACUCUUAUGUUGGCUCUAAGACUCUGACGCAUCCACCACACAAAUACAUUUCAUAAGCAAUCCUGGACUCUGAGGCAAAGUAUGCAAAAAACUUCGUGGGCUGCUUUGAGUCUCUAAACAGAUGAGAGGGGAUUGCACAGGAAAGGAUAUUCCAAAGAUUUGACAUGUACUGAUUAAAUCCGAAUAACUUUGCCUCUCUAUUCCGUGCCUAAAGCCACAUAUUGGUGAGUUUUCUUAUAACGAGUAUGUCAUUGUUAUUCAGGUAUAUAAUUGCACACACCACACACACGCGCACACACACACACACACACGCCCCAAGAAAGCACAGCCCUUUCGAGAUUUCCUCGAUGCAGAAGCAGAGUGAGGUUGUGCUGAGCCUUAUGGGAAAGAGCCCAGAGACCUGCUUUUGUUGGCUUCUCAGGUUUGCUGGCAUGUGCAGCCUGGGGUCUCGCUCUCUUUCCCCCCAAAACACUGGCUGUCUGCACUGGUGAGAAGUGUGAGGAGAGGAAAUUGGGGAAAUAAGACUUUCUGUAAAAUGACCACAACUGUUGGUGGGAGGAAGGAGUGGAAACAUGGAGAGAGGACGUUUUAGAAAAAUGUGUUUUCCUUAAGCAACCAGAAUCACAAAGUUCAACUAAGGCAAUUUCUGUAAAACCCCCAGACUAUUUAUACAUUUAUUUAAUUCAGUGAAGAAAGGUCUGUUCCGUUAUUUGAUGAGCGUUUCUGACAUGCUGCUACCAGGAAUUUGGUUAAACUCUUCUAAUCUUCAGUAUUUUGGGAAGACUUGCCUUGUGGCCUCUGGGCCAUUCCCUGGAUGGUCACUUAUUAUAUUAACAGAGAAGGAGAAAAACUGCUAAAAAGUAAAACCCUAGAAGGUAUGGGAAGAAAGAACAGCGCCCGGGGAAGCUGUGUGUGAGUGGGGAAAACAACUUCCUCUUCUGAACAAUCUUUCAGAGGACAUUCCUCCUAGAGUUUAAAACAUUACAGUCUCCAGAGCCCAGCGCCAAUUCCGUGUCAGCCCACAACCCGCUCUGGUUGCACAGCUUCACGAGUCACAAGGACUGGAUGGACAAGUGUGUGUGCCUAGUGACUGCCUUCUCCCAGCACAUGCACCAUGUCCCGGUGGCAUUGCCGGAGAUGGUCCGUGCCCUCUCAGCCCAGCAGCAGACCCUCAGGCAGAUCACCAUCUGUGGAGACCGCCAGGCCAAGGACACCAAAGUUCUGGUGCAGUGCGUCCACCCUGUCUACAUUCCUAACAUGGUGCUGAUUCUGGCUGAUGGGGACCCCUCGAGUUUCCUGUCCCACUGGCUGCCUUUCCUGAGUACCCUCCGAAGGCAGGAAGACCAGGCCACUGCGUAUGUGUGUGAGAAUCAAGCCUGCUCAAUGCUCAUCAUGGAUCCCUGUGAAUUACGAAAACUGCUACAUCCGUGACUGCCCCAACCCUCUUGGGCUGGGGCAGAAGGUAGAGCUUCCCAACUGACUAAAGACUCAGGUCCUGCAGGGCCGUGUAGAACUUGUGGCCAUCCCUGAGCACCCUGCCACCAGGUGACUUCAGCCAUACUCACUGCCUCCCUUGGGCACCCACUCACCCUAGAAUAAACUUAACAGUAUCCUACGGUGGGGAAAAAAUUACAGUCUCCAGCCUAGAGGACAGAAUUAGGCUGUUUUGCUUUCUAUCGUUAUUGUUACUGUUGUUCUUGUUGUUGUUUUUAGCUUGUGUGUUCCCUUUGUCUUUGCAAUUAACAGAAGGACAUACCAUUGCGAUGGAUCUUUAGGAUGCCCAUAUUUAUAGCUGAACACACUCACUGGGCCCUGCUGUGUCCCAAAGGGUAGCUCUCUUCUUCCUUCUCAUGGUUUUCCUCUUGCUCCUUCAAGCUUUGGAAAAGGCUACAUUACUGUAGUUCACUGGACUUGGUUAUGUAACAAAAGUGAGCCAGGUACCUCAACACCAUUGAUCCUUGUGGACAGCCAAGGUCACUUUUCAUCUUUGAAUGGAGGUCAGCAGGAAAGACGAGAUGGCUGGGCUGGCAGAGUCUGCUGCCUGCCCCCCCGCUCACCUCCAUCCUGCACUCCUGUGCUAACAGCCCUCCAUUGUGGCCACUAAAACACCACAUUUCUCAGCCUGCUGUAAGAUGCCAGGAGAAGGGUAUUGAGACAGUGCAAUAAAGAGUCUGACUACAUUUCUGAUGUCUGGCUGCAUUCAAAUCUCAUUACUCCCUCUUCUCCUUUUGUUCCAUAUCCAGGAAGCUGAAAAGAAGGCCCAGGUGCUCCCUCCUUUGGAAUUGGUGGGAAAUUUAAACCCCACAAGCCUCUACCCCUGUGCAAAAGCCUUCACCCCAGCCUCAUCUCUACCCACAAUAAACGCCAAGCCAGUCUCUCUUCUCUGGA
rnacentral:lncRNA from 1 species